rfam:Salmo salar isolate Sally breed double haploid chromosome ssa03, whole genome shotgun sequence.
CCUAAUUACUCCUGUAAAUCGCUCUGGAUAAGAGCGUCUGCUAAAUGACAUAAA